rnacentral:tRNA from 1 species
GGUUCCAUGGUGUAAUGGUUAGCGCUCUGAACUCUGAAUCCAGCGAUCUGCUUUCAAAUCUCGGUGAGACCU